rnacentral:rRNA from 1 species
AUUGAACGCUGGCGGCAGGCCUAACACAUGCGAGUCGAGCGGAUGAAGGGAGCUUGCUCCUGGAUUCAGCGGCGGACGGGUGAGUAAUGCCUAGGAAUCUGCCUGGUAGUGGGGGAUAACGUCCGGAAACGGGCGCUAAUACCGCAUACGUCCUGAGGGAGAAAGUGGGGGAUCUUCGGACCUCACGCUAUCAGAUGAGCCUAGGUCGGAUUAGCUAGUUGGUGGGGUAAAGGCCUACCAAGGCGACGAUCCGUAACUGGUCUGAGAGGAUGAUCAGUCACACUGGAACUGAGACGCGGUCCAGACUCCUACGGGAGGCAGCAGUGGGGAAUAUUGGACAAUGGGCGAAAGCCUGAUCCAGCCAUGCCGCGUGUGUGAAGAAGGUCUUCGGAUUGUAAAGCACUUUAAGUUGGGAGGAAGGGCAGUAAGUUAAUACCUUGCUGUUUUGACGUUACCAACAGAAUAAGCACCGGCUAACUUCGUG